CAAUGAUAUAAACAUCUAAGAGCAUGAGAAAUUUUUUCUUAUGUUACGCGGCUUUUAACCAUCCAUUUUGAAACAGUGCUAACAUAAAACAUCUCUUCAGUAAGGACGCAGGUUAUAUGCCUGAAGAAGCUCCAAUCAUUUUAAGUUAUGUUACCAGAAAUGUAAGGAAUACUGCCAGUUAUUUUGAGCAUGGUCUGUAACUUCAAGCAUUGUAUGCAAUUACGAUAAGCUAUGAGAGUGGAUUAAUGAAACUAUGUAAAUAGCAGAGAAAAGGAACUGUAGAAUAUUUUUUGUAUAUUUUAUUUAUUAUAUUCGAGUUGAUAACCAAGUGAAAACUAUAUUUUACUAAACAUUUUUUUGCAAACAAUGCGACUCAUCUUGAACAUCACUAUUUACAGUGGAAGGACAAAAUAAUGUAAACAAUUCUAAAUUAAUAUUUUUUUUUUAAUAUUUCUUCAAAAUUACUUAAUGAAUUGUUAAAUAGGAAUUUAACAUUUAUUGUAAUAACACUUUUCUAAUAAUAAUAUCACACCUCUGCACAAGAACUCACAAAUCUUUUCUCAUAUAUCUUAAAGACAUUCUAGUUUCAGUUUGUAAACAGAACAACACCGAAUGCAGUGUCUUAGGAGAGCUUAUCAUUCGGGCAACAAUCAUCUCUGAUUGGACAAUGGAACGGUAAAGGAGCCAAUCAGAUGAAGGAAAAGAGUCUUGGAAUUCCGCUAAUGAUGAGGCGAAUAAUUGUAUGGCUGAUAAGCCGAAGACGUAAUAGAGAAACUUUUCUUUUUAUUGUGGCAUCAGUUUGAUUUCAUCUUUACCGCCAGAUUUGAAAACAGGAUUUUUGAGCUGGUUGUUGGUCUUCGUGAGGCUAGGGGGCUUCGGCCCCUACGCUAGUUUUUUUGUGUGCUGCUAGAGACUCCUUGAGAGUUUCAUAUUUUUUUUGAAUGUAUGUGUUUGUUGAUAAAAAACAUGCAUUUCAAUCUUUUUACAUCUGAAACAAAUUUUUAUUAAUUAUUUGCUUUCUAAGCAAUUAAUUUAUUUUAUAGCCAGGAUGAAUAUGCUCUGGCAAUUAUUUUGUGAAUUAGUUUUAUAAUGAACAUUUUUGUGUAAAGGGAUAUUUGAUAGAUAGCCAAGACAAUAAAAAUGCUUUUAUAUAGAAUUAUCUUUCCGAAGGCGUCCCCUUUUGAUCCGGCAAUUUUGUUGUUGAAAAUUCACCUGGUUCAGGAAGAAUGUUUAAAGCUGGUGUAUAAACAUAAUGAAGGCAAAAAUAGGAACAAACCGCGGUAUAAAAACUCUGGCGAUUGCUUUGCUGUUAACUUUCUGGACUUUGACCAUUUACGAUCGUUUGAAACACCGCUGCUUAUUCUCAAAGCUUGACCUGCGGGCUCCUCACGUUCUUAUGGAAAGACGUCUGUAGCAUCAUGUUUCUUUAUUCCCAAGCGUCAAGAAAAUUUUCGAUUUUCAAAGGGCAUCAUCAAUGGAGACAAGAAAUGGAUUUUCUCCAAGAAUGUU